rnacentral:tRNA from 1 species
GGGGUUGUGGCUCAGUAGCAAAGCACUCGCCUAGCAUGUGCGAGGCCCUGGGUUCGAUCCUCAGCACCACA